UACGUAGGAGGCAAGCGUUGUCCGGAAUCACUGGGCGUAAAGCGCGUGUAGGUGGUGGGACAAGUCUGCUGUGAAAGCGCCUGGCUUAACCGGGCGAGGUCGGCGGAAACUGUUCGACUCGAGGACGGUAGAGGGGGGGUGGAAUUCCCGGUGUAGUGGUGAAAUGCGUAGAGAUCGGGAGGAACACCUGUGGCGAAGGCGGCCCCCUGGGCCGGCCCUGACACUGAGACGCGAAGGCGUGGGUAGCAAACAGG
rnacentral:rRNA from 1 species